UACGUAGGGCGCAAGCGUUGUCCGGACUUAUUGGGCGUAAAGAGCUCGUAGGCGGCUUGUCACGUCGGGUGUGAAAGCCCGGGGCUUAACCCCGGGUCUGCAUUCGAUACGGGCAGGCUAGAGUUCGGUAGGGGAGACUGGAAUUCCUGGUGUAGCGGUGAAAUGCGCAGAUAUCAGGAGGAACACCGGUGGCGAAGGCGGGUCUCUGGGCCGAUACUGACGCUGAGGAGCGAAAGCGUGGGGAGCGAACAGG
rnacentral:rRNA from 1 species